rnacentral:rRNA from 1 species
CAACGGUCUCUUCGGAGGCAGUGGCAGACGGGUGAGUAAUGCAUGGGAAUCUACCGUUCUCUACGGAAUAACUCAGGGAAACUUGUGCUAAUACCGUAUACGCCCUUUUGGGGAAAGAUUUAUCGGAGAAUGAUGAGCCCAUGUUGGAUUAGCUAGUUGGUAGGGUAAAGGCCUACCAAGGCGACGAUCCAUAGCUGGUCUGAGAGGAUGAUCAGCCACACUGGGACUGAGACACGGCCCAGACUCCUACGGGAGGCAGCAGUGGGGAAUAUUGGACAAUGGGCGCAAGCCUGAUCCAGCCAUGCCGCGUGAGUGAUGAAGGCCCUAGGGUUGUAAAGCUCUUUCACCGGUGAAGAUAAUGACGGUAACCGGAGAAGAAGCCCCGGCUAACUUCGUGCCAGCAGCCGCGGUAAUACGAAGGGGGCUAGCGUUGUUCGGAUUUACUGGGCGUAAAGCGCACGUAGGCGGACUUUUAAGUCAGGGGUGAAAUCCCGGGGCUCAACCCCGGAACUGCCUUUGAUACUGGAAGUCUUGAGUAUGGAAGAGGUGAGUGGAAUUGCCAG